UACGAAGGGGGCUAGCGUUACUCGGAAUGACUGGGCGUAAAGGGCGCGUAGGCGGUUCGUACAGUCAGACGUGAAAUUCCUGGGCUCAACCUGGGGGCUGCGUUUGAUACGUGCGGACUUGAGUGCGGAAGAGGGUCGUGGAAUUCCCAGUGUAGAGGUGAAAUUCGUAGAUAUUGGGAAGAACACCGGUGGCGAAGGCGGCGACCUGGUCCGAUACUGACGCUGAGGCGCGAAAGCGUGGGGAGCAAACAGG
rnacentral:rRNA from 1 species